rnacentral:rRNA from 1 species
UCCUGACCCGCCUGCCAUCUCAGUCGCGGGGCAAGCGCAAUAUAGGCUUGCUCCAAGUCGGUUUCCUAUGCUGCAUGUAUUAUCAAGUUUUAUUGAUCGCCUUUCGCCCCUCGUAUUUCGUGCGUGGGGUGAAUCGAAAGGCCGCCCUCGCAUCCCACGCCUCCCUCGCUUCGUCGUGCGAGGUCAUGGUCCGCGAGUGGCAGCCCGAAUUCUCGGAUGUGGUAGACGCAGUGGGCAUGGGGCCUUCAUCAUCUCCUAUCUGCCCCGUACGACGCUCCUUGCAAACGACGGUCGCGCUCGCCUUGAAUCCGUCUGCGCCUUCGUGGGCAGGCCGGGCUCAUGCGACGCCGGCGUCGAUGAGGAAUGCUACCUGGUUGAUCCUGCCAGUAGUCAUAUGCUUGUCGCAAAGAUUAAGCCAUGCAUGUGUAAGUAUGAACAAAUUCAGACUGUGAAACUGCGAAUGGCCUGCCAUGGUGGUGUCUUUGUCAAUAUGUUGCUUUUAGGACUUCGCCGGCACCUUAUGAGAAAUCAAAGUUUUUGGGCUCCGGGGGGAGUGUGGUCGCAAGGCUGAAACUUAAAGGAAUUGACGGAAGGGCACCAGCAUGAGUGGAGCCUGCGGCUUAAUUUGACUCAACACGGGGAAACUUACCAGGUCCAGACAAAGUAAGCAUUGACAGACUGAGAGAUCUUUCUUGAUUCUACGGGUGGUGGUGCAUGGCCGUUCUUAGUUGGGGAAGCGAUUUGUCUGGUUAAUUCCGUUAACGAACGAGACCUCUAUGCGGAGGUAUCCCUUCGCGGCCAGCUUCUUCGCAGGACUACGGCCUUUUAGGAAGCGGAAGUUUGAGGCAAUAACAGGUCUGUGAUGCCCUUAGAUGUUCUGAGCCGCACGCGCACUACACUGAUGUAUUCGACGAGUUUAUAACCUUGGCCGACAGGCCCGGGUAAUAUUUGAAAUUUCAUCAUGAUGGGGAUAGAUCAUUGCAAUUAUUGGUCUUCAACGAGGAAUUCCUAGUAAGCGCGAGUCAUCAGCUCGCGUUUACUACAUCCCUACCCUUUGUACACACCGCCCGUCGCUCCUACCGAUUGAAUGAUCCGGUGAAAUGUUCGGAUCGCGGCGAUGUGGGCGGUUCGCUACCCACGACGUCGCGAGAAGUCCAUUGAACCUUAUCAUUUAGAGGAAGGACAAGUCGUAACAAGGUUUUCGUAGGUGAACCUGCGGAAGG